rnacentral:lncRNA from 10 species
GGAGCAGACCCACCGUGGAUUUCAGGCGGGGGUCACUGGGCCCCCUGCUCCUUGCCAUUCAUGGAACGGUGACUCAGCAGGUGGGGCGAGGUGAGGACACCCCUCAAAUUAGUGUAGGCACUCAAGGUGGGACCAUCCUGCUGAGGGUGACGCAGUCUCUGAAAAGAUCCUAACAAGGUGGAAAGACUGACUCUGCCAAGAUUUUUUUUUUUUUUUUUUUUUGAGACGGAGUUUCACUCUUGUUGCCCAGGCUCGAGUGCGAUGGUGCAAUCUUGGCUCACUGCAACCUCCGCCUCCCAGGUUCAAGCGAUGCUUCUGCCUCAGCCUUCCAAGUACCUGCGGUUACAGGCACAUGCCACCAUGCCCGGCUAAUGUUUGUAUUUUAGUAGAGACAGGGUUUUGCCGUGUUGGUCAGGCUGAUCUCAAAUUCCCGACCUCAGGUGAUCUGCCCACCUCGGCCUCCCAAAGUGCUGGGAUUACAGGCGUGAACCACUGCGCUCAGCCUGGCGAGAUUUCAUUUUAUUGAUAAAUGUAAGUUUUUGCACUGAACUAACCCCAGACUUCACUAACGUGGGUAGGAAGACAUGGCUCCUAGGUGUAGACGCAACCCCCAGGGCUCUUGGACGGAGAUCACGUGGAAUCCAGAGUCCAGUGACUUUGGCAGUAACUGAAAUGGGAUAUUUAAUAUUCACGCAUUUAUUUCACAAAUGAUCCCAGUGUGCCUGUGUGUGCCUGGGCCCCGGCAGCGGCCAGCCUUGCCCUGGAACACAAAUGACUCACAGAGAGGGACGGGUCACGCGGAGAAUAAGCCAGGAGCUGAUGCGGGAGGAGACGGGUCAGAGGUGCUUUCCCUGGCAGGAAGAGCCAGGCCCCCCAGAACUCCUAGAGCGCCCUGAGAUCUUCGGGUUCUGAUGGUGGCAGGUUCUGCUGGGGCGGGUGGUGGGCCCUGCGGGAGCAUGUGAGCAGGGACAUGAUGGGGUCGCGCAUUUUGCAGGGAAACCAGCCUCUGGCUGCUGCAGGGGUGCAGGAGGCGAGAGGGUAGGGGCUGGGCCAGGCGGGUGGCGGUGUGUUGAGAAGCUGGGUACACGUGCUCCAGACGAUGGCCGUGUCCCCGUGCCCCCGAGGCAGGAGGGCCUGUCUGAUGUCGAGGUGGCUGCAAGGUGUGCCCCAGUGAUUCGGGGACAUUCUUGGAUGGACAAAGGUUGGCUGCAGCCCUGAGUUUCAGAAAACUGCUUUUUCCUCCAACUCCAGUUAUUCAUUUUAGAAAGUAGAGCUGGGACUGCCGGGCAGCGUCAGCAUUGAAAAUACCAUAGAGCUGGGACUGCCAGGCAGCGUCAGCAUUGAAAAUACCAGGUAUUAAAGAUGGAGUUUUAAAAACGAGCGAAUGGAGGUGCACCCCGGAAAUGCAAGCAUAGAUAUCACCCUCAGCAGGCAGGGGGUCACUUUCCCUGAACAGGGGCAGAGGCCCAUGCUGAGGAAGGAGGGCCGGUGGCGAGGCCCAGCCCUGCGCAGGGCCAGGCUCCACACUUCCCCUGCCAGCGAAUCCCUCCAGAGCUCACCCAAGUCCAGGUUCGUCUCUGGGGGCUCGUGGUGGGGCUGAGAUGCUGGAGGUGUCCUGAGAAACGAGGCUGGAGGCUGCAGUCAAGGUUUGCUAAAGAGCGAAGGGGCAGGAAGUUUUGCAUAAUCUCGAUGAUUAUUUUUUCCCCUCAAGAUGCUUUUGUGUCCUGGGGCAAACCCUGGGCACUGGCCCUAAGUCUGGCCCUGACUGGAGGUUGGGAGUAGAGUUUGUUAACACUGAAGCUCUUUCCGAAACGUUUGCCCAAGGCCCCAAACAGAAACUUUGCCGCCGCUUGGGCAGGUGCAGCCACACCUGGAGACGGGCCAUGGCGCUGUGUCAGGGUUAGGGUCACCGCGCUCGGGGCCGUCAGCAUGCACGCCAUCACGCCGCUCUCUGUCCUAACCACUGGCCUCCCCAGAUCCCCGAGACUAACCCGUGGACAGGGACUAUGCUCCCUGUGUCUUUAAAGAUAACAGUGAGACAUGGGUGUCAUAGUAAGCUAUUUAGUCUCUUCAACUUGCUCAUUUCAGUUCACAAAAGAACCAACAGAAACGGAGACAUCACCUUCACACGGGAGAAGUGCGCUGAGCACUUCCUCUGAGCCAAGGAUGAAGGUCCAAGCACUCACACCCUCGCCAUCCCCCGACGGGCAGGGUUUGCUGCCACAGCCUCAGUGACCCACUCAGGAACUGAUGGAAGCGGUCAGCUGUGCCGGCCACACCUACACCCCAGAACCCCCCAGUACCGCCUGCGAGAGGAGACGUUUUCUACAGUGGCCUGGGUCCCAUUCUUUCUGAAGUCUCUCCCUCUCCAGCUCUGGACUGCAUCGUCGCCCACAGAGGGGAUGCUUCUUAUCCGGUGGGAGGCGAGGAGGUCCAAGGGUCCUUCGUCAGGAGCCUGUGGCCAGCUUUCCACGCAUCUGUGAUGCCCGGCCUCAGCCCCUGUGUCCAGCGUGAGGGCUGGUGGCUGUGGAGACGGAUCGCACGCUGGGUUUAGAGGCGCCAGCCGCUGGCAGCGCCGGUGCCACAAGCCCUCCUGAGAUAUUGUUGGAAGAGAGCCUUGGUGUGCCUGCCUGGCACAGAGAAGCCUCCUGAGAAAUGUCAGAUGAGUCAUGAGUCUCAGAGGGGGCGGGCAGCCAGGGAGGAAGCAAGGAGCGAAACCAGGAGGGAGCCCGCAGGAAGCUGGGGGCCGGGCAGGCACCGGGGUCAGUGCAGCGAGGGUCAGGGGUUGCUGGGUGCGGGCAGUGGGUGCAGAUGCCGCCGGCACAGACGCCCUGUGAGUGCCUGGGCCCAACCCAGGCCUCCACAUCCAGGUCUAAAGGGGUGGCCCUGGCCUCGGUUCCCCUCUGGCCUCAGGUAAUCAUUCUCCGUCAGAUCAGAGGCCCUUCUGGUCACCUGGUGGACGGCCUGGGUCUCUAAUGCCACAAGGUGGAUCUGUUCUUAGCCCUCGACACCUGUGCGUUCGGCUGAGCCCUGACCCUGGCAGCCCGGCGGGAGGCCCUGCAUGGCCAGACGAGGUCCCUGAAGUCCACCAGGCAAGGCCAGCCCAAGACGGGAGGCAGGAGCAGAAGGUGCUUCCGUCAAGCUCUCACCACA